UCCCACGUGGUCUAACGGCUAGGAUACCUGGCUUUCACCCAGGAAGCCAGGGUUCGACUCCUGGCGUGGGAA